AGUAAAAAUAAUGUUAAAAAUAGUAUUCAAUAUGAAUGCCCUUUCACUAUAAGGUGAAGUGUAAAUAUAACAAUUCGUGUCUGUAAUCUGUAUUUGUUCCAUGGAAAAACUAUAGAAGGUAUGGCAAGUGCAUGAAAGGAUCCCCUGUAUUAGCACACUCAGGUUCUUUACACAUGAUAUUUUACAACAUGGCUUCUUUCACUUUGACACGACACUAGAGCUUUUCUUUGUCCAACGAAAGGAAAGAGAAAGGGACCAGCCAUACCACAUAACAAUUCAACUUGGAGCAAAUAAUACAAACCAUUACACAAAGUGUAGAGGACUUCAGCAGCUCUGAAAAUGAGCUGAGGCUAAUGGGGAAUAGUCAGCUGAAUAACAAAGCUGGAUAACUCUCAAAUAAGAUUUGAGACAUGAAAUCUCACUUUUUUUUUGUUUGUUUUGUUUUAGGUUUUUUGAUUGUUUGUUUUUCAGUGGGAUGGUUUAUACAGGAGUGCCGUAUUCAAGUAGGAUGUUCAUAUUCUGCAGAAAACAUAAGGAGGAAUCAGAAGAUAAAAACUGGAAAACAAGUCUCUCCAUGAAAGGUUUGGGAUUUACAGUCAGUUUUGUUUGUCACAGAAAAGUUAAAUAGGAGCAUUGGUCGUAGUUGCAAAUUCCUAUGAGGAACCAGAAAUUUGAUUAUGUGAAGCUCCAGCAGAGACAUGGAAUUAACUGGUGAUAAACUUAGAGGAACCCAGACCAUCUCAGUGCAAUCUCAAUGGGAGGCAUUCUUUUUAACAGUAAAGGUUAACUAUUUUUACUGUGUGCAAAAUUUUUGAUAGAUUAUCCAUGGAUGGUCCAAACACCCUGCCUUAAGCAGUGAAAGGAAUAUGUGUCCAGUUUCAGACAUGACCUACAACCAAUUUCUUUGGCUUAUUUCUCUGCACGUCUUGGGCAGCAGUACAGCAUCAAUGUGGCGAAAGGCUUCUUUUCCUGAGCAGCAGAGACCUGACACGACCAUCCUCUCAAGGUACAAAGUGCCUGUGAAGGCACAGUACAUGCCUUCCCUGCUAGAGCUGGAGAAGGGGAACAGCAAGAGGCAAUGUAGGCCAGCCACUUGCCAGCAUAUUUUGGCCAUGUUGUCAUGAAGAGCAGUCAUCACCCCUGUCCACAGCCUGGCAGGAAAUGCAGGGAUCUAACAGGUUCAGGGAAUGUGUGACAAGACUGCAGCACACAUGAUACUUGGUACAUUUUUCACCCUCACCCUUGCCACCCUUCCAAGUGUGGCAAGCAAGCAUUAGCUUCCAGGAGUGUGAGAAUGAUCUAGCGAUCAUCUACUUCUUGCUUCAGCUUGAGCAAACAACAUGAAUGUUUCUUUUUCUAGCAGUGUGUAGUGGUGUUUUUUAGUGUGUGUGGUUGCUUUGUGGUUAUGGUUGGUUGGUUGGUUGUGGGUUUUUUUAUUGUUGUUGUUCUUGUUGUGUUUUUUGGGGAGGUUGUUUGUUUGUUUGUUUUGUGUGGUGGUUUUUUGUGUGUGUGAUAGGGAUACAUGACGGGCGGGGGGGGGGAAAGCACUGAUUUAUUUUGUAUGAGUCACUAGGCAGCUUUCAAGUCACGACGACAUUGAAACACUAGUGACCCUGCUGGGACAGGCUGUUUUCUGAGUGUGAUGUCCAUAUUAUUUGCAUGUCUUUUUGGUUAGCUUCAUUUCAAUUGGGCCGGCUUUGCACUGUCAGUGCCCUUCAAGAGCUUCGUUUGAGUCUCCACAUUAUCCUCAGGUCAAGUUAGGAACCUCAGUCAGCCAGUCAUCGUGGCUGGUUCAGAGCAAAGUAAGUUACCAUCAGAGUAAUAGGAAAUAAUUUCAAAUAAUGUCUUCUUAUGACUGUGAAUUCUGAGGAUUUGUUUUACUGAUAUAUAUAUAUAUAUAAAAUGACACACACAUGAAAAGAGAGAGAGUGUUUGCCAGGUGGGAUGUUUUCCAGCCUCUUACAGCUCAAAAAAUAUUCUAACGAAGAUUUUAUGGUGAAUGUUUCUGAUUUAGCACAAUUACAGCAACAGAAUAUUUGACCUGUUUUCCUUGGAGGAGUGUUUUCAGUGUAUCCUUAUACAGCAACAACCUCUCUGUUCUUGUGAAAAAUGUUGGUUCGGGGUGGUGUUUUAAUUUUUCUUUUUUUUUUUUUUUUUUUAACUUAACGACUGCCACAUUCCACUGGAAAAAAAAAAAAAAAUCACUAUACUCCUCCUUUGCUUCUCUGCUACUUUUCAUUUCAGGUGGAUGAUGUGAAGUCUUACUAAUGAAGAAGCAAUCUGUGGUCAGCAUCUGAGAGCUCUUUAUACCCUGUGCUAACAGUGUUUUUAUGUAGUCCCCCGUGUCCCUCCCGCAGCUGGUGUCCCUCACUGCCUGGCAGUGUCUGCUCUGCUGCUGCUGAAGCCCUUGCUGGCCGGCUGCCCGGCAAGCAGCUCUCCUGUAGAUUUCAGCCUCUCUCCAGGAGUUGCCUGCCUUCGACAUAAUGGGCAACAUUGAAAGCAGCAAGGCGUUUGGUCAGCAAGGUCAGAGUGCCUUUCAUUCCUGCAAUAAUCAACCAGUGUAGCUCUUCCUCAGACAUGGGGAGAGAGAAGAUAGAGGUCAAAAGAGCAAUUACAUUUCACGUUGACUCUAGGAAAGGCUUGGAACACAAAACUGAAAACAGCAUAGAGCCUCUCUCUCCUGCAUUCCUUUUCUGGUCAUUAUUAUUAGAAAAGUGCAGCAACCAUGUCCAUUAUAAGCACUAUAACAUGAAGAACCAUUUUCCUCUGGUGGAUGAGAUCUUCAGACACUUAGCACUGUCAGCAUAUUGCCGAGGAAUGUAAAUGAGAAACACCAUGUAUGAUCAGAUACAGUGAGUAAAGGCUAUUAAUUACAUUUAAAAUGUUAACCCUAGCCAACUGCAGUGCAAGUAGUUGUGCUAAUUUCAUCUGUAAUCAGUCUUUGAAUUAUUGUAACUUUAUUUAUUUAGUAUUAAGACAAUAAUUAAGGGAAUAUAAUUUACAUGGAAAUGUCAGUAAUUUUCUUUUGGCAUAUUGUCAUUACAAAGCUGUCUUUAUUUGACCUUACAGCUGCUGGGCCUGAUUGCUUUAAUGGCAUUAAUUGUAGUGACCAUUGUGGUAUUGUAGCUUUUAAUUGCUAUUAACUGAAUAGCUGAGAUAAUUUCAAAAUGCAUCAUGUUUUUUUCACAGACAUCUUCUGUCGCUUCCUUAUAUGCUUAAGCCAUAGUCUGCCAAAGAUUUAACCAAAAAAAUCCUCAUGAAACAUAAAUCUGAGACAGCCCUUUAAGCGGAGCAACCUGCAAACUGUAAUGUUAAUAUAGUGUGAUAAUAGAAGAAUGUAACUGAUCCGUUUACUCAUUGCCCUACCCUGUCCUUAUGAAAGCUGAAUUAGCUCGGUGUUGACAAAGGAUUAAGAAACUUGGUGAAUUCCUCAUUGUAAACAAAACCUCCCUCAUUCCACAUUUCAGACUGAAGGCAGCCACUUCAACAAUAUUCACUUCUUUGUUUCCAGCUAUAGAAUGCAAACAUGGCUUUAUUCCAUGGUUUCCUAUGAAACGAAAUGUGAGCACAACAUCUCUAUCCCACAGAACACCUGGUAUUAUUCACUCCUCUGUGGAAAGCACUAUAUCACUAACGGACUGAAAAACAUAUUUAUUUCAUCAACUGUGACAAGCAACAUGAAUGUUUUUUCUUUGCAAUGCGACGGGUGCAUGGUGAGAAGAAAACAGAUGCAAAAUUUCACUCAGGGUCUUUUGAGAAAUCUCAGAUCUCUGCAAGUACCGUACAAUUGGUAAUCAACACUUAAUAAGCACAUGUAAACAGAGCAUUGCUUUAGGUCAGGUCCUAAAACUUAGACCUUACCAAGACAAAACAGGAUUCAGGGGUAGGUGAAUCAACACCAAAUAGUGAUUCGGUUAGAUGGUGGAAGCUAUUUGCAGUUCAGCGGACUGUACUGCUGUAGUCUUACCAGCUCUGCCAUCUCUGACAGCUCUGCCAUGUAAACAUUUGACUCAUUGGGAAUGGUGCUUAAGAUUCAGUCAUGAGAGGAGUUGGCACCAUUUUCUCUUCCAUUUUGUGGUGAUAUCCGCUAGAGGCAAAAGCUUAUGGUUGACAUAAGCUGCUUUUUUUUUUUUUUUUUUCCCCCCAGUGGCUACCACUUGCUAAAGGAAUGAGUCUAAAGGGAGAAUUCUGUGGUGUGUAUCAUCAGGAAAAAUAUGGCCUUAAAAGGAUGGUUUGGGAUGGUAUUGUAAUGGAAAAUUCUGCUCAUUUCCCUUUUUCCUUAAGUACAAAUGAACUUUACUGAUAUAUGGACAGGUCACAGGAAAGAAAGCAUUUGUAAAAAUGUUCCACAGGGAAUAAUCCUGGAAUAAUAAUCAGCUAGAUAGUUGGUGUGGUGAAAGAGGAGUUAAAGGAAUACAAAUAUUAACGUUCUUGUUAUUAUUCUAAAAAUCACACACGGUCAUUUCAAAAUGUGACAAGAAGCAUCGGUUUUCCCUUUUAAAAGGUGUUUCCCUACUAUUAUGACAUUUUUGAAUGAUCAAAAAUAUACAUGAUAUACCUUGAAAAUUUGCUCUUUCAAACAGAUGUAUUGAUUGUUCACCUUUGCAUUAUCUGGGAUAACCUUAACAAAGGAGAUGCUGCAUCAAUAAGUGAUCUUGAUUCUGUACUGUUGCACUCAUUAAAACAGGUGAUAAACCAAGGCCAUCCUGUAGAAAUAAUAAGAGAUUACUUUAUUAAAGAGGGAAUUAACUGAAUGACCUAAUGUUACAUGCAAAGACAGAUAUUUUACAGAACGGAGAAAAAUGCAGCACAAGCCAAAUUAUUGCUAAGUCUGUAUCACUCAUGUAUUUCCAUUCCUAGCUUAUUUAUAAGUUCUGUACCAGCAGUAUAUUGAAUUUUUCAGUCCUGUCUGAUUUAUUAGAUGAAAGAAUGCGUGGACCCCUUGUGUCAUAAAGCCUCACCAUUUAUUGAAAAGCCUGGGCUGCAUGUUUAGGCACCUGUAAACUGGUAGAGCUUCUAAAAUCACAGCCAUCCCUAUGCACAACUGAGGCUGAUCAUUGCCUCCAUUGUGCUGACUUGCAACAUGCCAGAAGCAGCAUUUGUGAAGCAGAGACUUCUUCUUCAGCUGAGGGAAAUGAUCCAUCCAAAACACACAGAAGUGAUCCAUGCUGGGCUGUCUUUCAGCUGUAUCAGUUUUCCGAUCCUGGCUCACAACACAAGCACAUAAGCACUUCUGGUGGCUCCAGCUGCAAGGUGGCAUGAGCCUGGAGAGGAGCAGCCAGCAGCUAGGAGGGAAGAGACCUUGCCAGCUACAGAGAUGGCAUAGGUACACCUCAAAGUAAGGCUUUGUUGUUCUGGCAUUCUUCUGUGAUCUCUUCCCCUGACUUUUUUCAAUGUAAUGGAAACUAACAUUAUUGCAAACAAAAUGCAGCUAUUAAUUAUCUAUGUCUGACAAGGAUAUGCUUAGAGAUAUCUGGUACUUUUUUUUUUUUUUUAAUAAAGUAGUGGCUGUGACUCAGGUUGCUUAAUUGUAUGCCUUAAAAGCUGUAAUUUUCAGAAAAUUGCAUCCUACUUAAUACAUCUCAUGACAAAAAUGAAAACAUUCAAAACGGUGGCAUCAGUGUGUGAAGAGGAGCAAGGCCUGUAUGUGGAUGAGCUGCAGAGAGAUACUAAUAGAAGCCUAAAGGAGGCCUGACAAAAGCACACCAUAAAAAAUCAGUGAAGUCACAAUCUUCAGCUCCUUCUCCUACGAACUUGCAAACUCCCUAAAAUACCUACAAAGUGGAACAAGCUUAAGAAGUUCUUUCGUCCACCUGUCUUUGGCUGCUUGUUUCUACUUGCACACCAAAGGUUACUGGCCCUCCAGCAAAGGUGGAUAAGCAUCUAAGGGGCCAUGCUGUUACACGGAGCAUGAAACAACAUAUUGAAAAGAAAGAAAAACAAAAAAUUGGGCUUUACUGUUCAGAGGACUUCUCCAAUACCUAUGUGGAAAGUUGGUCUUCAGCUUCUUCGCUGUAAAAGAAGUGAUGCUUACCUCUGGGGUGGAGAACCUGGAGAAGAAAUGCUGAGGAAGAGUGCCAUGUAUAGGGUGCUGUGCGUAGGCAUAAACUGCACAUUGUCCCAGUAUGCAUUGUAAGAUUUGUAUCAACUGAAGGUUGUUUAAUGAAAAGUAAUAUAAAAUUUAAAUAAAUUAAUACA